rnacentral:rRNA from 1 species
UAGGGAAUCUUCCACAAUGGACGCAAGUCUGAUGGAGCAACGCCGCGUGAGUGAAGAAGGUUUUCGGAUCGUAAAGCUCUGUUGUAAGAGAAGAACGUGUGUGAGAGUGGAAAGUUCACACAGUGACGGUAACUUACCAGAAAGGGACGGCUAACUACGUGCCUG